GAAGACCACUAGGGGAGCCAUUACUGGCUGAGACAGAGUUGAUCUGGACCCUUUGAACCUGAUCUAGUUCAUACUAGCGUAGGAAAGUGGAGUUCGUGCAAG
rnacentral:ncRNA from 2 species